CAGCCGCCACGGUAAUACAGAGGGUGCGAGCGUUAAUCGGAUUUACUGGGCGUAAAGCGUGCGUAGGCGGCUUUUUAAGUCGGAUGUGAAAUCCCUGAGCUUAACUUAGGAAUUGCAUUCGAUACUGGGAAGCUAGAGUAUGGGAGAGGAUGGUAGAAUUCCAGGUGUAGCGGUGAAAUGCGUAGAGAUCUGGAGGAAUACCGAUGGCGAAGGCAGCCAUCUGGCCUAAUACUGACGCUGAGGUACGAAAGCAUGGGGAGCAAACAGGAUUAGAUACCCCAGUAGUCUCUGUCUCUUAUAA
rnacentral:rRNA from 1 species